rnacentral:rRNA from 1 species
GAUGAACGCUGGCGGCGUGCCUAAUACAUGCAAGUCGAGCGAACAGACGCGGCUCUUGCUCCUCUGACGUUAGCGGCGGACGGGUGAGUAACACGUGUAUACCCUCCCUAUCAGACUGGGAUAACUUCGGGACACCGGCUCUAAUACCGUAUAAUCUAUUGCACCGCAUGGUUCAAUAGUGAAAGUCGGUUUUUCUGUCACUUCUCGCUGGAUCUGGGCCGCAUUAGCUAGUUGGUAAGGUACCGGCUUACCACGGCAACGAUGCGUAGCCGACCUGAGAGGGGGAUCGGCGACACUGGAGGGGAGACAGGGUCAAGAGUCCUAAGGGAGGCAGCAGUAGGGAAUCUGCGGCAAUGGGCGAGAGCAUGACGGAGCAAGGGCGCGUGAGUGAUGAAGGGCUUGGGAGCGGAAAAAUCUGUUAUUAGGGAAGAACAAAUGUGGAAGGAAAUAUGCACGGAGUGACGGUAACGAAUAAGAAAGCAACGGCUAACUACGUG